CGUUGUAUUUUAUGAUAAUACAUAACAUAUAUAAAGGUUGUGGAUUAACACGGAUGCGGCCACUUUCAUUUUUGACAAAAACAAUCUGAAAAGUGACGUUUUUUGGCAUAUUUGAGAGAUUUUUCAUAUUUGAGCUUCAAUCGGAUCGUUUUUAAUGACUUUAUCAGUUAAAAUCUUUCACAUAAACUAAUUGAAUCAAGUGAAAUGGACACUUAAGUGUUUAAAAAGUGGUCAAAAUCUUUCGUCAGAUGAAACUGAAAUUUGAGGCCAAA
rnacentral:lncRNA from 1 species